ACCUGCGUGUGAUUGGCUGACCAGGUCUGAGGUAACACUGACCUGCGUGUGAUUGGCUGACCAGGUCUGAGGUAACACUGACCUGCGUGUGAUUGGCAGACCAGGUCUGAGGUAACACUGACCUGCGUGUGAUUGGCUGACCAGGUCUGAGGUAACGCUGACCUGCGUGCGAUUGGCUGACCAGGUCACAGGUUAAAAAAGUCGAGGGAAAGAACAGCACUGGCCAUGUACUGUACGGGCCCUGGUCCAACGUUCAGAACUAUAGUGGGAACAUCAUGGACGACAUGUAGA